GUUAGUUGAUUGGCUGUUGCCUUCUGUGAUUUCUUGUGAUUGGUUGUUGAUAGGUGAGGGAUUGGCUGUUGUCCUCUGUGUUGUCACAUGAUUGGUUUUUGAUAAAUGAAAGAUUGGCUGUUGCCCUCUGUAAUGUCAUUGGAUUGGUUUUUGAUAUGUGAUCGAUUUGCUGUUUCUUCUGUGAUGUCUCUGGGAAAGACAAGUGGUGCGUGUAUGAGGGGAAGGGAGGGCAGAGCCCCAGAGAAAAGAAAAAAUGUAUGAGGGGAGGAGGGGAAAAGAAAGAAAGAAAGAAAAAGAACACAUGCAGUGGCCCCUUCAGCACCCAGCCGUGGUCCCAACAGGAAGCGAUCCCAACAACACCCAGGCAAUUAAUACGCUAUUAAUUAUGAUUCAAAAUAGCUGGAGUUCAUAGACACAAUAACAGGAUCUAAUAGAAAGGCAAGAUUCUGGAAAAGAUCGCGAAAGAAGUGGUCUGCAAACACUCAGAAGGGAAUGUAGUCAUCGCUAAGAGUCAAUACAAAUUUAUCAAAAACAA